UACAGAGGGUGCAAGCGUUGUUCGGAAUUAUUGGGCGUAAAGGGCGUGUAGGCGGUCUGCUAAGUCAUGUGUGAAAUCCCUCGGCUUAACCGAGGAACGACGCAUGAAACUGGCAAGCUAGAGUACCAAAGAGGGGGGUGGAAUUCCCGGUGUAGCGGUGAAAUGCGUAGAGAUCGGCAGGAACACCAAAGACGAAGGUACCCACCUGGGCAUCAGCUGACACUCAGGUGCGACAGCGUGGGGAGCGAACCGG
rnacentral:rRNA from 1 species